rnacentral:tRNA from 1 species
GGCCUCGUAACGCAGUUGGCUGGAGUAUUGGUAAAACCUUCCUCCUGGUAGCGUGGGUUCGAAUCCCACCAAGGCCA